GACGAACGCUGGCGGCGUGCCUAAUACAUGCAAGUAGAACGCUGAAGGAGGAGCUUGCUUCUCUGGAUGAGUUGCGAACGGGUGAGUAACGCGUAGGUAACCUGCCUGGUAGCGGGGGAUAACUAUUGGAAACGAUAGCUAAUACCGCAUAAGAGUAGAUGUUGCAUGACAUUUGCUUAAAAGGUGCAAUUGCAUCACUACCAGAUGGACCUGCGUUGUAUUAGCUAGUUGGUGGGGUAACGGCUCACCAAGGCGACGAUACAUAGCCGACCUGGGAGGGGGGUCGGCCACACUGGGACUGGGACACGGCCCAGGCUCCUUCGGGAGGCAGCAGGAGUGAAUCUUCGGCAAUGGACGGAAGUCUGACCGGGCAACGCCGCGUGAGGGAAGAAGGUUUUCGGGUCGUAAAGCUCUGUUGUAAGAGAAGAACGAGUGUGGGAGUGGAAAGUUCACACUGUGACGGUAUCUUACCAGAAAGGGACGGCUAACUACGUG
rnacentral:rRNA from 1 species